GGUUCGACUCUCAGCACUGACUGGGUAUGAGGUUCACAAUCAUCUUUAACUCUAGAUCCAGGUGAUCUGAUGCCCUCCUCUGACUUCAAAGGCAUCAAGCACACACACACACACACACACACACACACACACACACACACAGGCAAACACACACACAGGCAAACACAUACUCAUACCCAACAUAAAAUGAAUAACUCUUAAGUUUUCAAAAAGCUGAUUGUGAAAAACCUUGAGUGUUUGAGUCUCUAUGUUUAUUUACAAGUGCAGAAAAUUAACAACUUCAGUUGAAUAGCAGUGGCUGACUGUCUCGCUGUGGAUUGCACCUGCCUGUGCAGGACAAGGGAACUGUAUAAUUUCAUCACCACCACACCUUAUGCCUCUACUUCCCUCCCAGACCGGGGCAAUGGUUGCUGAAGGUAAGAGGAGACAAAGGGAAUGGUUUGAGAGGCAGUUAGAAUUUCAGGUUAAGGGAUAAAGGGACCAGAACUUGCCCACUGUGGGACAGAGGUAAUAGGAGAGCACUCCUUUGUCUUUGGGUGCAUUCCAAAAAUGUUUUCAAUGCUUUUCUGGAUGAUCAACUUCUAAGACAGCAAGAGCUUUUCAACAGGAUGCAGAGAUGAUAGAUGAAUUAAGGGAGCUGCUGUUUGAAGAAGAAAGAUAGAAAAAGUAGAAAACAAAUUUUAAUUGUAUUCUCACUAUCUUCUCUUUGGUUCUAUUCACCAUUGUUGGGAUAGUAAAUACCCUUAUCUCAGUCUUCUUCAAGCAGCAAGGCAAAGCCACUUGUAGUGCCAUGACUGCCAUCAAGGAACGGGGGAAGGAAAGAGAUGGGGCAAGAGGACGAGAAAGGACAGCCCCAAAUGGAAAUAAGUGUGCCUUAUAAAACGAGUAUUUCUAUUUGGGGGUGCAGCUGGAGACGGUCACAGUAAGCACAUUAAGCCAUGUGUUUUGGCUCAUAGAUUUAAUAGAGAAAUGUAGAAUCGUGUGCAUGCGUGCGUGCGUACGUGUGUGUGCGUGUGUGCGUGCGUGUGUGUGACAUAGCAGUAGAAGAGAAACUGUCUAGACAAGUAGGUAAGACAGUAGGGUGGAGGCAGAGUGAGGAAUGGGCAGGAGAGGAGAUGUGCUCAAUGUACAACAUAGUCUCAUAUGGAAAUGUCCUCAUGGAACAGAACCGUGUAUUUGGUAGACACUAUGACAUUUUAAGUAUAGUAGAUGUACUCAUUGUACCGUAUAUUCUUGCAUGAAAAUGCCCUUAUCCAAUAGCACCAUGUAUUCGUAGAUAGUAUAGUAUAGUAUUAGUAGAAACCAUAAAAUUUUAAAAAUAAAAAGAUUACUUCCGUCUUCAAUAAAUCCAUGCACAAAGACA
ensembl:lncRNA